CACAAACGCCUUCAGGUAGAUGGCCCUGCUCGAUCUGUUGAAAAGGCAUAGGUAGUAACUCUAUAAAAUAUACCCAGUGUAAGCUAUGGACACAUGAGAGGGUGCAGCAAUAUCAAAGGAAGGCUAACUGGGAAGAUAGUUUUUGUAUGUGGCAGAUGCUCAGGAGGAAUAAGCACUG